UGGAGGGUGAGGGGUGGGAAGGAUUCGAAGACAAGCACGCGGGGAGAGGUUGGAUCCUAGAGUUAAUCCCACCUAGCUCGGCCUCUGCUCACGGUCAAGAGUACCAUUCUGGAUAAGCAGUAACUGAUAAGAAGGCGCAAACCGGCUAGGAGGACCACGAAGGAAAGCACACAAUGGCCCACAGUCGGUGGCAGCGUUCGCGUAGUUUGGAGCUCUGAGAUCCGGGCAUCGCCGCAACAGACUCCUCCCUCCAACUAGUCACUCUUUGGGAGCCCCGCGCCUCAGGGCAGGUGUUUGGGGUUUUGUUUUUUUUUGUUUUUUUUUUUUGUUUUUUUUUUUUUUUGUUUUCCAGAACAGUCAGGAUUUAAGGGGAUGCAGACCCUAAGCAAGGAGAAGCGCUGGGAACCCGGGUUGGAGUGCGUUUCGGGGCACGUGGAAAAGCCCGGGAGAGGCUGGGGGUAGCGGCGACGGCGCAACCUGGAACCGCCUGGAGCGCGGGCGGGCAGCGGCCGGUUGCCGCCAGGCCUCUUAUUCCAGGCUGGCCGCGGAUGGGGCCCGCAGCUCCAGCGAAGCGACAACCAAGGUAGCCGCAGAACGGCAAAGAAACAGAACGUUUUAAAAAGCUUUGACUUACUCUCCAUUUCUUGCUCUUUGCUUUUAAUCUGCACUGAGUAAAACGAAGGAAGUGGGAGUUGCGUUAGCACGCUCGGGGCCCACACGCCAAACAAAAUUCCCUCCUCUUGGGGUCGCUAGUCCUAGAGGCACAGGAGACGGUGAGGGCAAAGGUCGGGCACAGGCGCUACCGGGUUGUUCCCCAGGCCACCUACGAGGUACUGCACCCCUCUCUGCGCUACUUUGGUGCUUGACUGUGCUUGUUUCCACUCAGAAGCUUUAUAUAUUUUUAAAGAAAUGAAAAGGCUCUGGAGACCAUCUCUUCCUCCCCCUACACUCUGUGGAUUGUCCACCACGCUCCCACAAGUGCUAUCUCUAAACCUGCAGCCAGGCUGAGGGCUAGGCAGAGGGCAAGGACGUUUGGUCCUCUUGGUGCAGAAAGGCCCCGCGAGACGAAACUUCUCAGGCCAUUUUGCCCUUAGAAUGCCCCAGACCCCUGUCUCAUACUUCCCACUUUUAUUUCUACUUCGAAGGAAUUUUUCUCAACUAGGACUCACUCAGGCGCCACGAGGGAAGGAAAGCCCUUUAUGAAAAGUCAGGGAUUUUCAUUUGCAAACGAAAAGAUCCAGGUUGUUUCUCUUUCACCCAACAUUGCAAAGUUUUUUGGUGGGUAUUUGGGGGGGAGGUGGUUUGAACGGGAGAUUUUGUGGUUUUGAAUCCCAGAUAGGGCAGAAGUGCUUAAUUCCCUGCCUUUAUGUUUUACAGAAGAAGUUCACCGGUGGGGUGGGGUGGAGAGGAAAGGGUGGGGGGCGAGAAAAUUUAGGACUCUUCUCUCCACCGCCAUUUGUUGUCUGAGAAUCCUAGAGGGAGAGAGGAACCGUAGUGCGAUCCCCGCUUCAAUCCUGGGGUGCCUCCUCACCCCGAUUUAGUAGUCCGAAGGAGUGGGAGGAGUUCCCUGCAACCCGUGGGGUCAAGAAGUAAGUGCUGUGCGUCCGGAGCCGCUCGAAGUCGGAGGGCCUCACCCCAGAGGGCCUCACUCGAAUGCCCCCUGCCCAUCCCCACGCCCGGAAGCCCUGGAGCGCCUGAGCCACCUCCGGGGAACCAGCCAACUGAGGUCCCACUUCCUCCGUUGGGUAAGGUUCUCUGCGGGAGCUCGGCGGUUAACCGCGCAGCCGCGCCCGCUACGCUGGCCUCGGCACCCUGAGCCUGCCGGAGGGAGAGACAGACAGUCUGGCCACGAGGAAGGUCCACUCUGUAGUCCGCCCCCGCAUGUAGGCGCUGUCCUGCACCUCCGGAGCUCGAGGCCCAAGGAAAUGAGGGCUGCGUAGACCUGGCCGCGCACUUCUCUCAUCCACGUUCCCACUCAACGUCAGCGCUGAGACCUGUGGCACAGAGGAGCUGGUCUGAAUCACCGUUUGGCAGAGAUGGAAGUUCAACUCCCCGUCUACAGAGAAGUAAACUGAGGCCCAGGCAGCGGAGGAAAGGCAGCUGUGGAGCUCAGUGGUUAAGAGCGAGGAACUGGUGGUCGGAGAACGGAACCUCAGGUCCACCAGGAUCUGUUUUAGAUAGUUUAGUGAACUCUCUCCAGCCUGGACUGCUGACCUGUGACCUCCCAUUAUUCAAACCAAGGCUGACACAUGUGGGCAUCUGGAGCUUUGUUCCCUCACUUCUCAGCCUCACCUCCUAAAAUAAAGAUGCUCCAUCAGAUUCUGACAAUGUGCCAGGUGGUCAAAACUCCAUUAGCCUGAGUCCCUGAGAAGAAAGGGUGGAAGAGAAGCUUCCCAUGCUUGGUAUAUAAAUAUGGCCUUGAAAAUGUCCACAGACGUGUUGUUGUCUUGUUGAGUCUGCAGCCAGGAAGGCAGAAAUCUCUGCAGCAAAGCAGGUGUGAACGUCCCCCUAUUUCAGAGGCAGCUCUCUUUGAAGCUGGAAAAUCAAGGACGCUGGUACCUUCAAGGAAACAAGGAUAUAAUUAUCACAACCCCCAACUGGCCGGUGACCUUCCAUUCCUCAGGCCACCCUACUCCCUUCACUGGCCCCGGCCCAGGUCCUCACAGACUCAGAGCUCUGUGUCCCAGACCGCUAAGACCGGGGAACAACCCCCUCACGCACCCUUUGAAAGCAUUCUUAAUCUCUCUCUACUGCACUGCUCUUUCAGACAUAAAUCCGCCAGCCCAGGGGGCCUCUGAACCCCCCACGGAGGGAGGCCCAUUCAGGCCCAGCGGAGUCUGAACAGCUUAGGGGUAGAAUUUAUGCUUCCUCUCACCUGUGCCAUCUGUCUGUGGCCCCUACUCUAGUCUGCUUUUGAAGGUUUGAACAUGACCCCCCAGCUUUUUGCCAAGUCUGCCAUCAUCACCUCAGUCACAGAAGCAGACUUCUCAAGGCCAUUGGAAGCUAAUAACAGUGACUCUCAACUUCAUUAUUAUACUUGAAAUGUUGAAAGCAGAAGCCUAAUAAAAUGAGCUCAGAAAAAACAAACCAAGCUAUAAAUUAUCAUGUGAAAAGAGUGGCUGAAGAACUCAUCUCCUCGGAAUACCUAAGGACUGUUUCUCAGCUACAGCAACAAUCUGGUAUUUGGUUUCUUUCCCUUCACUGUGCAAAAGCCUUGGCUGUGUUCUCUUAGCACAGAUUCUUUUCUGCUUCUAUGAGUCGACUGUCCAGAAUCAGGAGUUACACAACACUCCCCACCCAACUCCUUCACACACACACACACACACACACACACACACACUCCCUACCCAGCCUUGGUCCACUGAAUUGUAAUAAUUCUUUUUGACCAUAAGGAAUUUAUCCUACAUUAUCACCAAUCAGUACUCAUUGCAAUUAUUUAUUUUAAGAUAAGAGUAAAAGUCCACUUCCUUAACUUCAUAAAGACUAUUUAUGCUAAACUGAUGUAUUUAAUGAAAAAACACCAGAAGCAUUAUUCCCUGUAAAAUUAGAAGCAACUUAGGGAUGCCCCUAUCACUGUUACUAUUAUACAAUGUUUUGGAAAUUCUAGACCUUUUCAGGGGAUAUUUAGCAAUAUCUGGAACCAUUUUGUCAUCACAACUUUGGGAACUGGAGUGCUAUUGGCAUCUGGUGGGUAGAGGGGAGGAAUGCUGCUAAAUAUUCUGCAAGGCCCAGGAAAGCCCCCACAACAGAGAAUUCUCCAGCCCAAAGUGUCAAUAGUGCUGAGGGUAAGGGACCUUGCUCUAUACAAUGCAACAAAACGUGAAACAUAAAUAAGAGAAAAAAGUUUAAAAAAUAACUAAUUUUUAUUAUCAUUAAUUGCAAAGAACAUGUAUCACCUAGAAAAGCAAACCAAAAAUACUGAACUAUGCAUUAUUAAAGUUCAUAAAAUAGUAAAUAAUGCAGCUGGCUAAAAAUUUUUUCAAUUCUGUGAGAGACUGAAGAGUCUUUCAUUUUCCUGCAGGUUUAUUUAUCUAUUCUACAAAAAUUUCCUGAGAACAAAAGGGUUGGUUUUAUAAAAGAACAUUUAAGAGAUAUAAGAUGACUUUUACACUUUAAAACAUGGAAGAGACUAAGAAAUUUUAAAAACCAAGUCUAUUAACACUGUAAGACAAUAUUAUAGGAAACCCAAGUGGACAUAUCUUCCCAAACUAUAAGCUAGACUGGAGACUUUUUAAAAAAGAUUUGUUUAAAGUAUGAAAACAUUAUUUGGGGGUAGUAAACACACACACACACACACACACACACACACAAAUACUCCUUUUAGCAGAUAAAAACUUCCUCAGUAUUUUUUAAUGAGGGUAGUACUCUAAUGCAUCAUUGGAAAUCUAAAUAGUCCAUCACAAUACAUAAUUACGGUCCAGUAGAUGAAGCUUCUUGAGGGGACAGCCCAUAUCUUAUUCAUCUUUCUAUCUCCAUAAUUGACACAUACCAAGAACCCAAUGUUUAUGAAUUAAUGAAAUAAAUAAAAACAUUAACAGUGA